rnacentral:lncRNA from 1 species
AAUUUAUUUUGAAGUUUAGGCUCGUUUCCGGUUACGCCCACUGAAAUAUUUUGAAAGUUGCAGCCGGAAACGUGAGUAGAUUUGACAACUGUUGUGGGGAUGCUGAGGAGAGAGCAUCCUUCACUGUAGGUUUUCACACACACACAGGCCGUGUGUUUUAUACGCUGUGAUGUCACAACGCCUAGCAGUCUUACAUUUUACUUGACUGCCGUGAGUUGCUCUUACACGGAAAACUACGCUUUCAAGCUAAGCUAGGCGCUGACACUCCAAGAUAAGCGAUGGUGGAUUUGUCCGAAGGUGGUGCAGUGUCAGUCGGACACAGCAGAGACAGACAGGGAUCAGGUUCGGGUAAUAAUGACAGGAUAACGUCGAAGAAGUCGCGAACGAGAAGAGGCAAAAGAGGGAAGAGAAGGAGGAACAAAAAGAGCAACAGGAACAAAACGCCACCGCCGUAUUUACCACCGGAGGCUGAAGAAGGGAACAUUGAAUAUAAGGCUUUUAUGCAGCUGCAGAGUCUGAAGGUGUGCCCCGUGCAGAAGUAAUCGAUGAAGAUCUGACAGAAGAACAACAACAAUAUUACAAUGUCAUAGCUGUGGACAGCAGUUGUGUUGGACAAGUGGAGGUUGAGGUACCACCUGUAAAUGUGGACAGUGGUGAUCGGACAGACAGCAUCACAGAAGCUAAAGGGCAGACGAAGCAUUGUGUGUGCAAUGAACAGGGCAGAGCAGAAAUAAACACAACACUGCUUGAUAAGAUUGUUAAGGUUUGCUGUGUUUUGGUGAAUAUGUGCCCCAGUGUGGUUGUCAAACCAGCGCCAAAUGAAACUUGCUCUUGUUGAGUAUUCAUAAAGCUGUUGUGUUGCAUGUGUAGUUCAUUGUAAAUAAUUGUACUUUGUGUGAAGUAGUUUCAAUAAAACAGAAAAGAAUAGUAUACAUGUUUGUUUUUUUUUAUUCUUGAUCUUAUCACAUGUACUUAGCAAGUACAUAGAAAUGAAAUGCAAACUAUUUACAUGGCAACACACAGCUGGCAUCAAUCUUGAACCACAAAAUGAAACAUUACAGGCUAUUUAGAGCAGCACGUUGUUUGGUGAAGUAUUUCCCAACAAGUUCAGGAAGACACACUUUAAGAAAGAAGUCUUGUGCUUGCUUUAAACGUGGUUCCCAGAAAUCCACAUCAGGGAAGAUGCGUAUGACAGAAGGUCUCUCUGUGUCCACACAACGAGGUCACAGUGCAGUUUCAUUCAGUCGUUGUGAGUGCAGUACCUGAAACACACAAAAACCACUUUUAAUAAAAGGUCUGUAAUGAACCAAGGCUAAUAUAGAUGGGUUGGCUGUACGUGCAAAUCAAAAACUGUAACAAGGAAGUUGUUUAGAAAGUUAUCAUGUUCAAACCGACUUACCUUUGUCUUAACGACAACGUACAGUUGUCGCAGCGUGGAGGCAUAAAGAUGGACAAAUCUUGCACCCAGCUGUUCGUGAAUUGGAUGUGGGCCUCCAGGGAUUUAUAAUUCUUAAACUGGUUUGCUGUGUAUGCGCUGACUCCACAGACAAGGUAUGCAAAGAUCGGGAUAGGACAAAGGCGGUAAGAUAAAAUUAGUGCACAUGACAGGUGUGUGAUUCAUCUGGAAGUUAUGUGCGGAUUAGUGUACAAUGAGAGCAAUUUAGUAUGUUUUUAGAGGCCCAUGAGCAGUGUUGGUGCCCAGUCUGGAUUUGUUACAUCCAUUUCAUACGCUGGUUUGCCUGCAAUAAUGCUAAAUCAUAAGCUACUCAGUCGACAUGAUGACAUGACGUGGUUCUGCAGCAUCACACAUUAGCAUGUUUUAUCUCAUUAUCUAUGACCUCAGCACAUUGAAAAUAACACUAAAAGCAUUUUAAUAGUGAUAUGAAUUAAUUUAGAACUCACCGGAAAGAAGAUGCAGAGACCAAACCAACAAAAAGCUGGGGAUUGCACAGAACUCGAUCCGCUCGUCUCACCGCUGCAAUGCAAGCCUGACGUCUUUGUUUAGUAAUAUCGGAUACAUGGGAUCCCUCACGUUGCCUCCAGGUUGAAAAACGAUGAAAAGAGAGCCCAUUAUCCCGCUUCUUGCCUUCACGAUCGUGUGAUCAAACGUUGCAACUGAUAACACAACACGUACGAACCAUAGCUGAAGCUGUAUCCUGUGUCUAGCCUACUGUCAUGGCGGAAAGGGGCGUGGCCCACCUCCAGUGACAUCACGCUCCAAAGCCCUAUUCAGGGUAUGCACGCUUGAAGUACGCACACUACGCGUACUACGUACGGUGCGUACUACAAGUACGGGAAGUGCGGAAGUGAGAGGCUUGUGAAAUGGGACGGUCUAGCCUUCGUCGCGCUGUUCAGGUUGCCUAGCAACCAUGAUACUAACCGCGAGAAAUGUUUCAUACAGCUUUGUGUGACAGAAAUGAAGGAGAAAAAAUGUUUUGUUGGUCAUUCAUUUUGUCAUGACAUCACUUUGAUUAGUUGAGACCACAGGACUGUAAAACAUGAUAGUUGGGCUUCAUUUCUGUACUGAACAGUCAUUUCAAGAUUAGUUAGUAAAUAAUAAUUAGCUAAUGUUGUUCAUGAGACUAAAGUCAUCUCACUGUGGUAAUGUUAAUAUAAUAUGGACAAUAUUAUAUGUAUUGUCAGAUUAUAUAUAUGAGCUUGAACUCUGGGUCAAAGAUGCAAGUAGCAGUUAUUUAUAUUUCCUAUCACCUUAAAUCUUCACUCAAAGACAAGUAUCUCUGACAGUGUAUAUACAGAUGUAUUAUAUAUAAGAGACGAACAUUGUUCUUUUAAUAUGUUGGCAUUACUAAAUUUGGUUCAAUGCUUAUAUAUAUGUGUAAAAAGAAAAUGUAUGAGCUGUGAUAACUGUUUCUGAUAGAAUGAAGAGUAGACUGAUAUAUGAAAUAUUCCUUUAUUGGGUGAGAAAAUCAGACCAUGUCAUAACUGCUUUAAGUCACACAGAAUAGAUAUCAGAGCCUUAAACAGGCUGACUUCUGCUAAAUGGGUCAAACUGGGCAGAAAGUAUACAAACAUAUAACAUCCUUAUAGAAUAUGAUGUAACACUAUAGAUCAACUUACCUCAGAAUAUAUAAAGCAUAUAAACAAUUACAGCAAUAUGAUGCAACAAACACAGCAGUGCUACUAAUCCAAAAUACUCAAAGCUUCAUAGAACUGAAACAAACAUUUAUUUUUAGCUCCAUUCUGCUGCUGAUACAUACUUUAGGUUUCUGAAUAUUAAACUUGUUGCUGCCUUUCAUAGUGUGUAACUUGAAGGCCCUGAGUACUUUCUCCCACACUGAAAACACUGGGAUGAUAACAUUAUUUGAACAUUACCUAAUGAGACUGAUUCAGGACAGACAGUUAUUUUAAACUUUCCUAGCAGUCCUUCACAAACAGGGAACAGUCUGUCUAUUCUCUCCAUCUGUCCGCUGCUGCUGGCUCUUCCUCCUCCUCUUCCUCACACACUGCUGAGUUUGUCCUGGUGGAUCAUC